GAGAAAUUUGUCCAUGCAAGGAGCUGUGCCAGGAGGAAUCAGUCUCUGUAGAUACGCUGCAACAGGCUCGGCAGCCCCACUGAACACCCGUGCUGGAAAGAGCGCACCAUAUGAAACACAGCUUGGUUACAUCACCUCUCAGAGAACACAGAACUGUCUGACUGAAGAUGCUUGAAGGAAACCUGGAUUAAAGACAGGAGCAAUCUCCAGUCUCCUCCUGUCCCAGUCCCUGACUUUUUU
rnacentral:lncRNA from 1 species